rnacentral:rRNA from 1 species
AUAUUACUGGUUCACCCUGCCCAAUGUUAUAAUGAAUGGCCGCGGUACUUUGACCGUGCUAAGGUAGCGUAAUCAGUUGUCUUUUAAAUGGAGUCAGGAAUGAAUGGGAUAACCUGGUCUAGCUGUCUUAAGACUACUCAAUUGAAUUUACUGUUUAAGUGAAAAAGCUUAAUCGAAAAAAAGGGACGAGAAGACCCUUAGAAUUUUAUCUAAAAAGAAUGACCUUUGCGAUUUUGUUGGGGCGACAGAGAGAUAUCGUGAACUCUCUCGUGAUACAAUCCGAAUUUUUUAAUCAAGAAUAAAUUACCUGAGGGAUAACAGCAUAAUUCAAAAACUGAGUUUGUGACCUCGAUGUUGGACUAGGAAACUAGCAGGCCAGCCGUUUGCUAUGUGGGUUCUGUUCGAACUUUUAUUCCU